CUCCCACCCGUGUUUACUGUACCUUAGUUGCUUCGGCGGGCCCGCCAUUCAUGGCCGCCGGGGGCUCUCAGCCCCGGGCCCGCGCCCGCCGGAGACACCACGAACUCUGUCUGAUCUAGUGAAGUCUGAGUUGAUUGUAUCGCAAUCAGUUAAAACUUUCAACAAUGGAUCUCUUGGUUCCGGCAUCGAUGAAGAACGCAGCGAAAUGCGAUAACUAGUGUGAAUUGCAGAAUUCCGUGAAUCAUCGAGUCUUUGAACGCACAUUGCGCCCCCUGGUAUUCCGGGGGGCAUGCCUGUCCGAGCGUCAUUGCUGCCCAUCAAGCACGGCUUGUGUGUUGGGUCGUCGUCCCCUCUCCGGGGGGGACGGGCCCCAAAGGCAGCGGCGGCACCGCGUCCGAUCCUCGAGCGUAUGGGGCUUUGUCACCCGCUCUGUAGGCCCGGCCGGCGCUUGCCGAACGCAAAUCAAUCUUUUCCAGGUUGACCUCGGAUCAGGUAGGGAUACCCGCUGAACUUAAGCAUAUCAAUAAGCCGGAGGAA
rnacentral:rRNA from 1 species